GCAUGUGAGGACGAUCUGGCUGCAACAAUCGUCACCCCAUUGACUGUGCACCCCUUCAGAAGGGAGCACAGGGAGCAGUGAGGGGCUGAUUCAGCUGCUCUGGCUACUUAACUGGAUCUCCCUUCCUCCCUCCCUGCUCCAUGGGCGUCCCACCUGACGCUGCAUGCUGGGUCAAAGGGGAGGUCCGUUUCCAAUGAGGAGGACUUGCCUUUGGUCAAGGGUAAGCAAGAGGUUGCCCCCCACCCCCCGCUAGAACCUCCCAAGAAGCUCUCGAGGAAAUGCAGGACCACAAGAUAAGCCUCCUCUCCAUUUUUUUGUCAAUGGAUAGCAGCAAAU
rnacentral:snRNA from 1 species